CCCUAAAGAGACAAAAAUAAAUAAAUAAACCUUAUUUCACCAUCCAGAACUAGGUCUCGUUUUAUUUUUUAAAUCUUUUUGCCAUAUUUUUUCACAGUGCUAUACAGUGCUGCAUUUAAAUCUUGCACAUUCGUCUUACAUCAUGAAACUGUUCUCGAUACAAAACAUCAAACCAGAAACUUGGUUUUCCUGGCCUUACCUCAAUUUCUGCUGCUGCCUCCUGUUCCUGGCAACUCCUGCAGGGAGGAUCCAUGGGUAAGGCAUACAGUAGGGCUAGGCACGAGCCAUCCUGAUGCGACUUUGGUUCUGAGA
rnacentral:snoRNA from 1 species